GCUGUUAGUUUUUGUGUAUUUUUCUAAUUGCUCUUCAUAUUCUUUUUUGUCCUGCCCAAUUAUACUUUUACAUUUGAGUUGCCACAGUUUAUGCUCGUUUUUGUUUUCCUCUGUAGGAUUUGACUUCCUAUUUUUAAAGGAUGUCUUUUUGUCUCAAACCUCCUCUGUUUAGCCAGGGUGGUUUUUUGGUCCUUUUUUUUUUUUUAACUUGGGGUAUUGUGAUGGGGUGUACACCCCACACUGGAGUGUAAGGGGUUAAUGGGGGCCCAAUUAAUCUAGUAGAGUGAAUGCCCUCGUUAGAGGAACAGGCUCACCUGUGCAGGAGCAGGCAGGGCCUGUAUAAAGCCUGUAUGUAACUAGCAGCCUACAGGGCUGCCACUGGGAAAGACUGCAGGAAAGUAGAUUGUAGCCACUCUCUGAGUGGAGGGAGUUGGAGGCUGGCAAAGCUGGACUGGGGGGAAGAUAAAUAAGCAGGAAGAAGCCUAGGUAACAGCAGCAAGGAGUAGGACUGUACAUGGACUGUAGUUGCUUGUUAUAUGGUCCCUGGGCUGGAACCCAGUGUAGAAGACAGGCCUGGGUUCUCCUACCAGCCACUGGGGCGUGGCAAGGGCAUUGGAGCUGCCAGCAAGCAGGUCUGGAAAGACUGUGAAUUCCCUGGAAAGGGGGGAUCUUAGUGACCUGGCUGGAGGGCCAUGCCCUGAAGAGGAGAUGGCAGGUCCGGGAAUGAGUGGGGCUGUAGAGAGAGACAAUAUGAGGGAAGGUGCCACUGGAGGAGGAGCGCAUGCCUGGCAGAGCUAAUUCCCAGGAUGGCCAGCAGAAGGCCCUGCAAGUGGAGCUCUGACCUCUCUCUUUGGCACAAAUAAGGAUGGUGACAAGGCAUAUACAUGGGAUCCAUGAAAAAACCAGAAGGGCUGCAUUCUACGAUAUCUGCUUGGUACUCCCAUUACCUCGGUGACAUUGUGAACAAGAAGCUGGCAGCAUUAUCUCCCGUUAAUGUAAACAAACUUGUUU